UUUUUUUGUUUCUUUUUUCCAUUUUCAUUUCAUUCCUCUUUUCACUCUCUUUUCUUGUUUAUUUGUUUUAAAGUUUUAUUUGCCCUUUCUUCUUCCUACUUUCUGCUACCUGGAAUGGAAUGUGAAUCUGAUGGCUGGAAUUCCAGAAGCCAUCUUGUACUAUGAGGUGACUGUAAGGAUGGAGAUUAAUUCGAGGACAGUGGAGCAGAAAGAUGGAGGCCUGAUGAACGUGAAGCCAUCAUUUUAGCCCUGGGCUACCUAUCUCUGAAAUUAUUUUACCUGACAGAAAAAUAAAAUUCUGUUUUGUCUCAGCUACUAUUGUUUUAGGACUUGGCUAUGUCACAGAUCUAAAACCCACUUAAUUUACUCCUGCAAUCAAAAUAUUAUAUUGACACAGAAAAGAUAACAAAUAAAUCAGUGGGAUAAAACAGAAAAUCCAGAAACAGAUUCAAGUAUUUAUGGGGACCGGAUACAUGAAAGAUCACAAUUCAAGUCAGUUGGAGAAGAAUGUUUUAUUUACUAAGUAUAACUGCUGACAUGCUGGCUGUUUGUCAGGAAUAAAAAAAAGCUAAAUCCUUCCUCACAUCACAAACAAGAUUAGUUCUAGGUGGAUUAGCAAACUAAAGGCAAAACGUAAGUAAAAUUAAUAAAACAAAAAUUAGAAGAAUAUUUUCAUAAGUUUAGGUCGAGGAUACCUUAUUAUACAAAGCAGGAAACCUAAAACCAUACAGGAAAAUAAUUGUACAAUGUUGUGUAGAAAAAAACACACACACACACAAAGCUAAAAGACAGGUUGGGAAAAAUACGUAUGUAACACAUUUGCUAUCCAUUAGUUACUGCUGAUGGUGGGAAACUGCAAACAUUUUCCAUAAAGAGCCAGAUAGUAAACAUUUGAGGCUUAAGGGUGUGAAACCUAAAAGAGGUUCAUGAUGGAUCCGGAAUGGCUAACUAGGCCUAAAUUCAAAAUACAGCCAAGCAGCCAUUGGCUGACUAGAGGUCACAAGUACUUCAGUUUUGUUUGCUUUCUGAGACACGAUCUUGCUC
rnacentral:lncRNA from 1 species